rnacentral:rRNA from 1 species
GGUCAGGUUGAAGUUCAGGUAACACUGAAUGGAGGACCGAACCGACUUACGUUGAAAAGUGAGCGGAUGAACUGAGGGUAGCGGAGAAAUUCCAAUCGAACCUGGAGAUAGCUGGUUCUCUCCGAAAUAGCUUUAGGGCUAGCCUCAAGUGAUGAUUAUUGGAGGUAGAGCACUGUUUGGACGAGGGGCCCCUCUCGGGUUACCGAAUUCAGACAAACUCCGAAUGCCAAUUAAUUUAACUUGGGAGUCAGAACAUGGGUGAUAAGGUCCGUGUUCGAAAGGGAAACAGCCCAGACCACCAGCUAAGGUCCCAAAAUAUAUGUUAAGUGGAAAAGGAUGUGGCGUUGCCCAGACAACUAGGAUGUUGGCUUAGAAGCAGCCAUCAUUUAAAGAGUGCGUAAUAGCUCACUAGUCGAGUGACACUGCGCCGAAAAUGUACCGGGGCUAAACAUAUUACCGAAGCUGUGGAUUGUCCUUUGGACAAUGGUAGGAGAGCGUUCUAAGGGCGUUGAAGCAUGAUCGUAAGGACAUGUGGAGCGCUUAGAAGUGAGAAUGCCGGUGUGAGUAGCGAAAGACGGGUGAGAAUCCCGUCCACCGAUUGACUAAGGUUUCCAGAGGAAGGCUCGUCCGCUCUGGGUUAGUCGGGUCCUAAGCUGAGGCCGACAGGCGUAGGCGAUGGAUAACAGGUUGAUAUUCCUGUACCACCUAUAAUCGUUUUAAUCGA